rnacentral:rRNA from 1 species
UACGUAGGUGGCAAGCGUUAUCCGGAAUUAUUGGGCGUAAAGCGCGCGCAGGUGGUUUCUUAAGUCUGAUGUGAAAGCCCACGGCUCAACCGUGGAGGGUCAUUGGAAACUGGGAGACUUGAGUGCAGAAGAGGAAAGUGGAAUUCCAUGUGUAGCGGUGAAAUGCGUAGAGAUAUGGAGGAACACCAGUGGCGAAGGCGACUUUCUGGUCUGUAACUGACACUGAGGCGCGAAAGCGUGGGGAGCAAACAGGG